AAAAUUGCAUUAAAUGCAAAUUUUAUGCUGCUAAUUGACAGGCGCAACACUGAAUAUAGCAGGAUUGCAUUAAUUGCAAGCUGAAUAGCAGCUGCUACCAUACAAAGUGCAGGGGGGCGCAAAGCUGGAAAUAGCCGAACUUCAUUAAUUGCAAGUUGACUAGCAGAAUACAUGAAGUACAGCAAGGAGACUUAGUCAUAUGGGCUGCAUAGCCAAUAGGGCGCAUAAUUAAGUUAGAUUUAAGUAGAUUUAAAUUUGAAUUUUAGGCGCAAGCGCCGUCAGAUAUGUUCGCUGCACAUAUACAUAUAU
rnacentral:sRNA from 1 species